GAUGAACGCUAGCUACAGGCUUAACACAUGCAAGUCGAGGGACCGGCGCACGGGUGAGUAACACGUAUCCAACCUGUCCUUUACUCGGGGAUAGGCUAUCGAAAGCAAGAUUAAUACCAGCUAUAAAGGCUGGGGAGGCGUUCCAUUAUGGUGUUGGUGAGGUAACGGCCCACCAAGACUUCGAUGGAUAGGGGGUCGGAGAGGAAGGUCCCCCACGUUGGAACUGAGACACGGUCCAAACGCCUACGGGAGGCAGCAGUGAGGAAUAUUGGUCAAUGGGCGGUAGCCUGAACCAGCCAAGUAGCGUGAAGGAUGAAGGCUUAUGGGUCUUAAACUUCUUUUAUAUAAGAAUAUGUAUUAUAUGAAUAAGGAUCGGCUAACUCCGUGCCAGCAGCCGCGGUAAUUC
rnacentral:rRNA from 1 species